CGGCAGCAGGGUGACUGUUAGAUGCUGUUCAAGAAAAUGGGCAGAUGUCACUACUGUGGUAUGAUCAGUUAAUUUUCCAGGCAGAUGAACUAUGAGAGAGCUGGACAGUAGGCACCUGAAAACCGAAGUGUCAUUCUUGGGGAACCAGUGAGUUUCCUGGGCUUACGUGAGUGAGGGGUGACGCAUAAGCCGGUGGAUGACCACAAGGCAAUGGAUGGCGGCUUCCUCACAGAGGCAUGGAUGGAGUUCCCAGAGUUCCCAGCUCAGGUUACUUUCUACCUGAGGCAGUGAGGCCCUGAGGCCACGAGGACCUCGCAGUUAGGGCAGACCGACUUACAAGAGGCCGAGAUGUGCUGGAAUCUCAGCAUAUUUUCAAGGCCUGCAGCCUAGACUCCCCCAGCUGCA